UUGGCUGUCGUCAGCUCGUGUCGUGAGAUGUUGGGUUAAGUCCCGCAACGAGCGCAACCCAUCGUCCUUAGUUGCUAACAAUUCGGUUGAGCACUCUAAGGAGACUGCCUUCGUCAAGGAGGAGGAAGGUGAGGACGACGUCAAGUCAUCAUGGCCCUUAUGGCUAGGGCUACACACGUGUUACAAUGGGGCGUACAGAGAGUUGCGAUACCGUCGAGGUGGAGCUAAUCUCUUAAAGCGUCUCUCAGUUCGGAUUGGUGUCUGCAACUCGACUCACAUGAAGCUGGAAUCACUAGUAAUCGCA
rnacentral:rRNA from 1 species